UCUGAAUUUUUUUGGGAAAUGACUCUCCAGGGUGUGUUUAGAACACAGAAAGAGGCAAUUGAUUUGAUUUGUUCUUUCUGUGUUUCCUGUCCUGCUUUUGCUCUCUGCUUCUGUCCAUGAAGACACCGCCUUUAGGUUCCAAAAAUAGCUCCUUAUGGUGCUCUAGUUCAGUGUUGUGUGCAUUUGUCCCAAAACACUGUCGGCUGUGAAGAUUGUAUCUUUAUCUUCUCCAAUGUGUGAACAAGAGAGCAAAGUGGGAGUUUCAGUUCCCUUUGAUCACAUAAACACAAUUUGCCAUUUCCGUUCUGGCAAAACGGUCUCCCAUUCUGACAAAUUGCCAUCCAUGGUCUCACAAAUUGUCAUCACCGUUUUGUUCAUAACUAUAUAAUCUCGGUUAGAAGUUUAGUUACAAGAAACUGACUACUCACAUGAAACAUAUAAAAAUAAUACUUAAGAAUCAUUAGAUCGUUAAACAUAUUUAAGUAAAUUGUUUAAUAUAAUAUAUGUCGAUAUCUUAUCUAUCAUAUUUU